rnacentral:lncRNA from 1 species
CAACACUCUUAUCUGCGAUGCCACAGUUUGCCCAGUUGUGGAUGCUUCACUGGAUGCAAGGAGGACUAAACGCAACAUGUUCAUCAGUCAGACAUGCAUCUUAGUGCAGAUAAUUUUCUGUACAAACUGACAGCGGUUUAUAUUUUUCAGGGGGCCGAAAAGUUUUCUUCUAUGUCUAAUUAAGGUCUGAGAGCCCCGAGGAGCAGCCGAACACUGGGGUCUUGGGUCGUCUCGGGAGCUGGCUCUCUCCAUGGAGGGGAAAGGGUCCCAGUGAAAAUGUCUCCUCAACUACCGAUAAGGCUCUUAAAUCAGAGGGAGAAGAGGAGAAUCAGAAGCCUCUGAGACUCCGGGCAAAGAAUCAAGAGUGGGAGGAGGAGAAGGAACAGAGCUCCAAUCCCAAUCCACGCCGUCUCUCCAGAGACAUUUUCCCCUGUGAAGAACGGGACGCCACGCAGUCUGCCCACAGAGACGGCUCUAUUGUGAGCAGCACUGAGACAGCAGAAGGAGGUCCAGAAGAGGAGGAGUUUGUGGAUUGCAGGGAGAAGAGCAUAGAGCAGAGCAAGGAGAGGGAAGAGAGCAGCAACGGUUCUUCAGCGAGCGGGAAUCCUAAGAAGAAUGCCAGUCAUCUGACACAUCUCUCUUCUGAGCAGGGAGUGGUAUGGGACUCUGACCGGGCCCACGCACAGCCUCAAGCACAGCGACACGCACAGGCCCAGGCAGGCAGGAGGCUCCAGGUGUACCUGGAGGAGACCAGCGUGACUCACAGGGGUAACGACACCUGUGAUCGACAGGAAAUUGUCGAAGUGACAAAAAAGAACCUAAAUGUCCUCCCCAAAGCAAAGUCAUCACCAAGUUUUGAUUUGAGCUCAAGUUCAACACGUGCAGAGAACAAAAGAACAAAUGUGAAGUCUGCUGUUGGGGCACAGAGUUAUUACAGUGCAAUAGUGGGAGUGUCACUGAAAGCACACAUAGACUCACAGUCAGAGCCUGAAUCUGAAGAACAAACAGACAACAUGGGGCGUAAAAACCCAGCCAGGAGGAAAUUUAGGAAAAACUCUCAGGGAGAUGAAGGGAACAGCCCGCAAGAACAAAAGCCUCCCACUGACCUACCUGUCCCAGAGGGAAUCCCUACAUCAAAUAACUCAUUGACCAGUGCUCAGGGAGAAAGUCCAAAGACUCACAUGGGAGAGUCAUCUGCAAACUCCUCCUCCAUGCACAACCCCACCUAUCAGGCUUCACCUGGAGGAGCAGAGAUUAAGACUUCCUGCCCUGAUACUGUCAAGCCGUUGGACAACUUCCAGGAUUCAAAUUCAGUCAUUGCAGCCAGUCU